rnacentral:piRNA from 1 species
UGAAUUUUCAAGUUUGAACAAAGGUGGAC